rnacentral:misc_RNA from 1 species
CCAGCAUGUAUGCAUAAUAAAAACACACCCAGCUGUUGCAGCGCGCGCCGGGCGCUCUCUCUACUUGGCGACCACGCCAUCGUUACCGGCGAGCAUCAUGUACUUGUCGCGGCGAGACAGCCCGGUGCACUCGAAGUCCAGAGCCUGGCCCAGCCGCCGCUGCACCCAGUUAGCCACCUCGACGCCUGUCCUGCCCCCGGCGCGCGUCCACUCCCGCGGAACGGCACCCAGAAACUCCACCCGGUACGAGGGCACCGGGUUGGCGAAGAACGCCACAGGGUCGAGCCACUUGUGUCCGCUCGCCGUGGUGCCGUAGAGCGUCGUCACCUGAGCGUCCAGCGCCACGGGCUCCAUGUCGUCCGCGAGCUCCGCGAACAGCGGGCUGAAGCGCAGGAGGUAAGGCUCGCGGCAGGUGGUUCCCUCGGGGCAGACCGCGAGGUCGCCCUGCGCCAGCAGCCUGGACAUGGUCUCGGCGUCCCGCGCGCGGUCGCGCGUCAGCCGCACCGUCUUGAUGGGCGCGAUCAGCUCGGACAGGCGGCUGAGGCUGUACGUCAAGGCCGGCACGGGCUUCUGCAGCGCCGUGGUGAGCAUGAUGGGGUCGACAAGCGUCCGGUGCGUGCACACGUAGAGGACGCCCCUCCGCCGCUUGCCGUCUGCCGGCGGGGCGCGGAGGCCGGAGGCGCGGAAGCGGACGCCGAAGAUCGCGGCAGUCGCGAAGUUGAUCUUGUAAGGGAGAACGAUACCGAUGUUAAUGCGGAUGACGGAGAGGACGACGCCGAGCGGAAGGAAGAGGAAGAAGGCGAGCAUGGCGGCGGGUGUGGGGAGGAAGGCGAGGCGCCCGUCAUGGAAGAUGAGCGGCUUCGGGUAUUUCUCCCGCGAGAGCUUGUCGUUCUUUGCGCUCUCUCUGCUCACGACGUAAACUUCCUGCCAGAAACCCAAUCGUACUGGUCAGUGAGUACAUGUCGAAU